AGUUGCCUACGGGGGGCAGCAGUGAGGAAUAUUGGUCAAUGGGCGAGAGCCUGAACCAGCCACGUCGCGUGAAGGAUGACGGCCCUACGGGUUGUAAACUUCUCUUGUCAGGGAGCAAUUGAGUCCACGUGUGGGCUUAGCGAGAGUACCUGAAGAAAAAGCAUCGGCUAACUCCGUGCCAGCAGCCGCGGUAAUACGGAGGUUGCGAGCGUUAUCCGGAUUUAUUGGGUUUAAAGGGUGCGUAGGCGGAUUAUCAAGUCAGC
rnacentral:rRNA from 1 species